rnacentral:rRNA from 1 species
UUACACAUGCAAGUCGAAUGGCAGCACGGACUUCGGUCUGGUGGCGAGUGGCGAACGGGUGAGUAAUGUAUCGGAACGUGCCCAGUAGCGGGGGAUAACUACCCGAAAGCGUAGCUUAUACCGCAAACGCCCUACGGGGGAAAGCAGGGGAUCGUAAGACCUUGCACUAUUUGAGCGGCCGAUAUCGGAUUAGCUAGUUGGUGGGGUAACGGCUCACCAAGGCGACGAUCCGUAGCUGGUUUGAGAGGACGUCCAGCCCCACUGGGACUGAGACACGGCCCAUACUCCUACGGGAGGCAGCAGUGGGGAAUUUUGGACAAUGGGGGAAACCCUGAUCCAGCCAUCCCGCGCGUGCGAUGAAGGCCUUCGGGUUGUAAAGCACUUUUGGCAGGAAAGAAACGUCAUGGGUUAAUACCCCGUGAAACUGACGGUACCUGCAGAAUAAGCACCGGCUAACUACGUGCCAGCAGCCGCGGUAAUACGUAGGGUGCAAGCGUUAAUCGGAAUUACUGGGCGUAAAGCGUGCGCAGGCGGUUCGGAAAGAAAGAUGUGAAAUCCCAGAGCUUAACUUUGGAACUGCAUUUUUAACUACCGGCUAGAGUGUGUCAGAGGGAGGUGGAAUUCCGCGUGUAGCAGUGAAAUGCGUAGAUAUGCGGAGGAACACCGAUGGCGAAGGCGCCUCCUGGGAUAACACUGACGCUCAUGCACGAAAGCGUGGGGAGCAAACAGGAUUAGAUACCCUGGUAGUCCACGCCCUAAACGAUGUCAACUAGCUGUUGGGGCCUUCGGGCCUUGGUAGCGCAGCUAACGCGUGAAGUUGACCGCCUGGGGAGUACGGUCGCAAGAUUAAAACUCAAAGGAAUUGACGGGGACCCGCACAAGCGGUGGAUGAUGUGGAUUAAUUCGAUGCAACGCGAAAAACCUUACCUACCCUUGACAUGUCUGGAAUUCCGAAGAGAUUUGGAAGUGCUCGCAAGAGAACCGGAACACAGGUGCUGCAUGGCUGUCGUCAGCUCGUGUCGUGAGAUGUUGGGUUAAGUCCCGCAACGAGCGCAACCCUUGUCAUUAGUUGCUACGAAAGGGCACUCUAAUGAGACUGCCGGUGACAAACCGGAGGAAGGUGGGGAUGACGUCAAGUCCUCAUGGCCCUUAUGGGUAGGGCUUCACACGUCAUACAAUGGUCGGGACAGAGGGUCGCCAACCCGCGAGGGGGAGCCAAUCCCAGAAACCCGAUCGUAGUCCGGAUCGCAGUCUGCAACUCGACUGCGUGAAGUCGGAAUCGCUAGUAAUCGCGGAUCAGCAUGUCGCGGUGAAUACGUUCCCGGGUCUUGUACACACCGCCCGUCACACCAUGGGAGUGGGUUUUACCAGAAGUAGUUAGCCUAACCGCAAGGGGGGCGAUUACCACGGUAGGAUUCAUGACUGGGGUG